rnacentral:tRNA from 1 species
GCCGGUGUUGCUCAGUGGAUAGAGCGUCGGCCUGCAGACUGAAGGGUUCUGGGUUUGAUUCCCAGUUGGGGCA